CAUUGUAGGUCCCUUACCCAUGUCACAUGGCUAUCCAGUAUCUCUUAUUAUGUAAUUAACAUUGACAUUGUAGGUCCCUUACCCAUGUCACAUGGCUAUCCAGUAUCUCUUAUUAUUGACCGAUUCACAAGGUUCUUUCAGGCAAUUCCAAUAAAGGACAGGAAAUCGGGAGACAUGCAUACAGGCAAUUCUGUACAACUGGAUUGCUCUGUUCGGCGUACCCAAAGAGAUUUCUGCAGAUCGUGGAAAAUCCUUCGACUCCUGGAACACGAUGUGUAGGAAGUUGGGAAUCAACAUGAUCAGAACUACGUCAUAUCAUCCAAGUGCCAAUGGAGCCACUGAGGGAGUACAUAGAACCUUAAAAGCUUCCUUAAUGUGUUAUGACAAUCCCUCUGAUUGGUACUUAUACUUACCGUUCGUACUACUCAGUUUCAGAGCGGCUUUAAAAGAAGACUUUGGGUUGCAGUUCAGCGGAACUGGUCUUCGGAAAAACAAUGCGACUCCCAGGGGAAUUCUUCGACGACGAUGUACAAACGGAGCCUCUGAACGCGGAGUUUGCUUAAAAGUUAACACAUGCGUUAACUAAAGUGCGAACCCGUCAUCAGCGAGGAAUCAAUUUUUCCUUCACGCAUCAGUAGAGCUGGUCGACGAGUCAAACGUCCAGCGUAUCUCGAAGACUUUGAAGCAUGAAUCUACCAAUCAUCAUCUGCUUUCCCUGUCUGGAACCAUUGCAUCCCUUGACGAAGAUUUUGGCAUUAGCUCAGGGUGAAUUCUAUGUACCGCCUGCAAAAACUUGUAUUCGUAAGCCAACGUACGCUGAAGUCAGAUUGCGAGAUACAACGCUUGUUGACUACUCUGUAUCGUUUGGUGGGCUUAAAAUAUCCUGGCCAGAUCUUGUCUGAACUUACUCACCAGCAUGUAGCGGGAAUAGCCGUUGGUGAUCUCA